rnacentral:rRNA from 1 species
AUUGAACGCUGGCGGCAGGCCUAACACAUGCAAGUCGAACGAGCGGCGGACGGGUGAGUAAUGUCUGGGGAUCUGCCUGAUGGAGGGGGAUAACUACUGGAAACGGUAGCUAAUACCGCAUACCAUCAGAUGUGCCCAUAUGGGAUUAGCUGGUAGGUAAGGUAACGGCUUACCUAGGCGACGAUCCCUAGCUGGUCUGAGAGGAUGAACAGCCACACGGGGACUGAAACACGGUCCAGACUCCUACGGGAGGCAGCAGUGGGGAAUAUUGCACAAUGGGCGCAAGCCUGAUGCAGCCAUGCCGCGUGUAUGAAGAAGGCCUUAGGGUUGUAAAGUACUUUCAGCGGGGAGGCGUUACCCGCAGAAGAAGCACCGGCUAACUCCGUGCCAGCAGCCGCGGUAAUAC